UACAGAGGGGGCAAGCGUUGUUCGGAAUUACUGGGCGUAAAGGGCGCGUAGGUGGCCAACUAAGUCAGACGUGAAAUCCCUCGGCUUAACCGGGGAACUGCGUCUGAUACUGGAUGGCUAGAGAUUGGGAGAGGGAUGCGGAAUUCCAGGUGUAGCGGUGAAAUGCGUAGAUAUCUGGAGGAACACCGGUGGCGAAGGCGGCAUCCUGGACCAACACUGACGCUGAGGAGCGAAAGCCAGGGGAGCAAACGGG
rnacentral:rRNA from 1 species